rnacentral:rRNA from 2 species
UGCAGUCGAGCGGACUUGAUGGAGCUUGCUCCAUCAUGUUAGCGGCGGACGGGUGAGUAACACGUGGGCAACCUGCCUGUAAGACUGGGAUAACUCCGGGAAACCGGAGCUAAUACCGGAUAGUAUCUUGAACCGCAUGGUUCAAGUUGGAAAGACGGUUUCGGCUGUCACUUACAGAUGGGCCCGCGGCGCAUUAGCUAGUUGGUGAGGUAAUGGCUCACCAAGGCAACGAUGCGUAGCCGACCUGAGAGGGUGAUCGGCCACACUGGGACUGAGACACGGCCCAGACUCCUACGGGAGGCAGCAGUAGGGAAUCUUCCGCAAUGGACGAAAGUCUGACGGAGCAACGCCGCGUGAGUGAUGAAGGUUUUCGGAUCGUAAAACUCUGUUGUUAGGGAAGAACAAGUGCGAGAGUAACUGCUCGCACCUUGACGGUACCUAACCAGAAAGCCACGGCUAACUACGUGCCAGCAGCCGCGGUAAUACGUAGGUGGCAAGCGUUGUCCGGAAUUAUUGGGCGUAAAGCGCGCGCAGGCGGUUUCUUAAGUCUGAUGUGAAAGCCCCCGGCUCAACCGGGGAGGGUCAUUGGAAACUGGGAAACUUGAGUGCAGAAGAGGAGAGUGGAAUUCCACGUGUAGCGGUGAAAUGCGUAGAGAUGUGGAGGAACACCAGUGGCGAAGGCGACUCUCUGGUCUGUAACUGACGCUGAGGCGCGAAAGCGUGGGGAGCGAACAGGAUUAGAUACCCUGGUAGUCCACGCCGUAAACGAUGAGUGCUAAGUGUUAGAGGGUUUCCGCCCUUUAGUGCUGCAGCUAACGCAUUAAGCACUCCGCCUGGGGAGUACGGUCGCAAGACUGAAACUCAAAGGAAUUGACGGGGGCCCGCACAAGCGGUGGAGCAUGUGGUUUAAUUCGAAGCAACGCGAAGAACCUUACCAGGUCUUGACAUCCUUUGCCACUUCUAGAGAUAGAAGGUUCCCCUUCGGGGGACAAAGUGACAGGUGGUGCAUGGUUGUCGUCAGCUCGUGUCGUGAGAUGUUGGGUUAAGUCCCGCAACGAGCGCAACCCUUGAUCUUAGUUGCCAGCAUUCAGUUGGGCACUCUAAGGUGACUGCCGGUGACAAACCGAAGGAAGGUGGGGAUGACGUCAAAUCAUCAUGCCCCUUAUGACCUG